rnacentral:rRNA from 1 species
UCCGUAGGUGAACCUGCGGAGGGAUCAUUACAGAGUUCAUGCCCUCCGGGUAGAUCUCCCACCCAUUGCUAUAACUACUCUCGUUGCUUUGGGGGCCGCCGGCCCCGGCUGGCGCGUGCCCGCCAGAGACCUCACAGACUCUGAAUGUUAGUGUCGUCCGAGUAACUAUACAAUCGUUAAAACUUUCAACAACGGAUCUCUUGGUUCUGGCAUCGAUGAAGAACGCAGCGAAAUGCGAUAAGUAAUGCGAAUUGCAGAAUUCAGUGAGUCAUCGAAUCUUUGAACGCGCAUUGCGCCCUGUGGUAUUCCGCAGGGCAUGCCUGUUCGAGCGUCAUUUCAACCCUCAAGCCUCGCUUGGUGUUGGGCCCUGCCCGCCGCGGCCGGCCCUAAAGAUAGUGGCGGCGCCGCCUGGCCCUCAGCGUAGUACAGCUCUCGCUCCAGGGUCCGGCGGCAGCCUGCCAGAACCCCCCAACUCUGUGGUUGACCUCGGAUCAGGUAGGGAUACCCGCUGAACUUAAGCAUAUC